GCUCGGGUGGUGGAAUUGGUAGACACGCAAGGUUGAGGGCCUUGUGAGAGUUAAAUCUCAUGUGGGUUCAAGUCCCACUCCGAGCACCA
rnacentral:tRNA from 1 species